rnacentral:rRNA from 1 species
AUUGAACGCUGGCGGCAUGCCUUACACAUGCAAGUCGAACGGCAGCACGGGAGCUUGCUCCUGGUGGCGAGUGGCGAACGGGUGAGUAAUGCAUCGGAACGUGCCCUGAAGUGGGGGAUAACGUAGCGAAAGUUACGCUAAUACCGCAUAUUCUGUGAGCAGGAAAGCAGGGGAUCUUCGGACCUUGCGUUUUCGGAGCGGCCGAUAUCGGAUUAGCUAGUAGGUGAGGUAAAGGCUCACCUAGGCGACGAUCCGUAGCUGGUCUGAGAGGACGACCAGCCACACUGGAACUGAGACACGGUCCAGACUCCUACGGGAGGCAGCAGUGGGGAAUUUUUGGACAAUGGGCGCAAGCCUGAUCCAGCCAUGCCGCGUGAGUG